rnacentral:lncRNA from 1 species
UUUAGGGUUGUUUAGAUAGACUUUUCUUCACGCAAGGGAAAGGAAAAGGAAAAGUGUACAUUCGGAACAAAAGCUAUGGUUUGGUUGCAUUUACGAAGAGCCGGGGUAGUAGCGAGCACUCAGGACCACUCGCGGCAAACAAAAACCUAGAAGUAAGAUUGUCACGCAAGAAGCGCUCAGGUAGCGUCGCCAGUCGCAUUCUUCGUAGUUUGGUGAUUCUCUCGCGUCUGAGCAAGCGCGGUGAGUUCUCGAGGAUUUGGGUCGUUUUCCAUGGUCGCAUUAGCGUAGUGGGCGCUCGCAGAUCGCCAGUCGGAAGCUCCGAUCGCUCCACUGCCACUGUCGAAGUGGGUUUUCUAGCGAAAAAAAGUCCUUUCCUGUUUAUCUUACACAUCGAUCGUUGUGGAGAGCAAGUAGCAACAAGCCUUUUGCUUUUUUCCAGGUCCCCCUUCUUCUUUCGCUUUGUUCUUUAUUCGUUUUGUCUUGUUUCUCUUCCUCGAGCGCCCUCUCGUUUUGUUUUGCUUCCACCCAUAGCAAAGGAAGAAGAGUUUCCAUCCUUCUUUGAUCUCUCGUGUCUUUCAUUCAUUGCGCUGUGCUCGAGGACCAC